AUUGAACGCUGGCGGCAGGCUUAACACAUGCAAGUCGAGCGGGGUGAUGGUGCUUGCACUAUCACUUAGCGGCGGACGGGUGAGUAAUGCUUAGGAAUCUGCCUAUUAGUGGGGGACAACAUCUCGAAAGGGAUGCUAAUACCGCAUACGUCCUACGGGAGAAAGCAGGGGAUCUCUUGUGACCUUGCGCUAAUAGAUGAGCCUAAGUCGGAUUAGCUAGUUGGUGGGGUAAAGGCCUACCAAGGCGACGAUCUGUAGCGGGUCUGAGAGGAUGAUCCGCCACACUGGGACUGGGACACGGCCCAGACUCCUACGGGAGGCAGCAGUGGGGAAUAUUGGACAAUGGGGGGAACCCUGAUCCAGCCAUGCCGCGUGUGUGAAGAAGGCCUUAUGGUUGUAAAGCACUUUAAGCGAGGAGGAGGCUCUUUUGGUUAAUACCCAAGAUGAGUGGACGUUACUCGCAGAAUAAGCACCGGCUAACUCUGUGCCAGCCGCCGCGGUAA
rnacentral:rRNA from 1 species